UACGUAGGUGGCAAGCGUUGUCCGGAUUUACUGGGCGUAAAGCGCGCGCAGGCGGGCUGGUCAGUCUGGGGUGAAAUCUCACGGCUCAACCGUGAGGGGUCCCUGGAUACUGCUAGCCUUGAGGGGCUCAGAGGAGAGUGGAAUUCCGGGUGUAGUGGUGGAAUGCGUAGAUAUCCGGAGGAACACCAGUGGCGAAAGCGGCUCUCUGGGGGCAACCUGACGCUGAGGCGCGAAAGCGUGGGGAGCGAACCGG
rnacentral:rRNA from 1 species